rnacentral:rRNA from 1 species
AUUGAACGCUGGCGGAAUGCUUUACACAUGCAAGUCGAACGGCAGCACGGGGCAACCUGGUGGCGAGUGGCGAACGGGUGAGUAAUACAUCGGAACGUGCCCAAUCGUGGGGGAUAACGUAGCGAAAGUUACGCUAAUACCGCAUACGAUCUACGGAUGAAAGCGGGGAUCGCAAGACCUCGCGCGAAUGGAGCGGCCGAUGUCAGAUUAGGUAGUUGGUGGGUAAAGGCUCACCAAGCCGACGAUCUGUAGCUGGUCUGAGAGGACGACCAGCCACACUGGGACUGAGACACGGCCCAGACUCCUACGGGAGGCAGCAGUGGGAAUUUGGACAAUGGGCGCAAGCCUGAUCCAGCCCAUUCCGCGUGCAGGAUGAAGGCCUU